AUUGAACGCUGGCGGCGUGCUUAACACAUGCAAGUCGAUCGGUAACGCGGGGGCAACCCUGGCGACGAGAGGCGGACGGGUGAGGAACGUUUGGGAAUCUGCCUAUCAGCGGGGGACAACCCGGGGAAACUCGGGCUAAUACCGCAUACGCUCUACGGAGGAAAGCCGGGGACCGCAAGGCCUGGCACUGAUAGAUGAGCCCAAGUCGGAUUAGCUAGUUGGCGGGGUAACGGCCCACCAAGGCGACGAUCCGUAGCUGGUCUGAGAGGACGAUCAGCCACACUGGGACUGAGACACGGCCCAGACUCCUACGGGAGGCAGCAGUGGGGAAUAUUGGACAAUGGGGGAAACCCUGAUCCAGCGACGCCGCGUGGGUGAAGAAGGCCUGAGGGUUGUGAAGCCCUUUCGGUAGGGACGAAAGCUCUCGACCUAACACGUCGGGAGGUUGACUUAACCUACAAAAGAAGCACCGGCUAACUCUGUGCCAGCAGCCGCAGUAACAC
rnacentral:rRNA from 1 species